UGGACUUCCGGAGUGCUGUGCUGUUCUGGGGUUCUGGGGAGGGUGUGGCUGGUCAGAGGUUACAGUCACACCGAAAAUUAAACGCUGUCACCUCCAGUUAUGAGCCGCGCUUUUUGUCAGUGUUUUCAGGCCACAGCUGAUAGUGGGUGAGUGGAGUCACAGAACACAAACCUGCAGAUUCUGUUACUCUUGUACGGGGGACCCUACAGGAUGUUGUACAUUGCAGAAAAUCCAGCACACUGGCACCCCUUACAGAAGAAACUGGAAAUGGCUGUGCAGCGAUCUCAACGGCCAAGGUUACCCAAGAAGCAGUUUGCUGUACUCAUAAAUGUCUGGAAGCUGAUGGCCACCACUUUGCACACCUCUUGUAAUUGUAGAGGCAAAAGGCGAGAGCCUGUUGCUCUUUUGCUGAGCAAAUCACCUUGACGCAGCAAAAUGUCAUCAUCCAAAAGCAG
rnacentral:lncRNA from 1 species